rnacentral:rRNA from 1 species
AUGCCUGGGAGGUCGACCAUGGAAGCCAUUUUCUUGGUACGACAACUUAUGGAGAGAUACAAGGAGCAAAAGAAGGACUUGCAUAUGGUGUUCAUUGACUUGGAGAAGGCCUAUGAUAAGAUACCGCGGAAUGUCAUGUGGUGGGCCUUGGAGAAACACAAAGUCCCAGCAAAGUACAUUACCCUCACCAAGGACAUGUACGAUAAUGUUGUGACAAGUGUUCGAACAAGUGAUGUCGACACUGAUGACUUCCGGAUGAAGAUAGGACUGCAUCAGGGGUCAGCUUUGAGCCCUUAUCUUUUUGCCUUGGUGAUGGAUGAGGUCACAAGGGAUAUACAAGGAGAUAUCCAAUGGUGUAUGCUCUUUGCGGAUGAUGUGGUGCUAGUUGAUGAUAGUCGGAUGGGGGUAAAUAGGAAGUUAGAGUUAUGGAGACAAACCUUGGAAUCGAAAGGGUUUUGGCUUAGUAGAACUAAAACUGAGUACAUGAUGUGCGGUUUCAGUACUACUAGGUGA